rnacentral:rRNA from 1 species
AUUGAACGCUGGCGGCAGGCCUAACACAUGCAAGUCGAGCGGAUGAAGGAGGCUUUCUCCUGGAUUCAGCUGCCGACGGGUGGGUAAUGCCUAGGAAUCUGCCUGGUAGUUGGGGAUAACGUCAGGACACGGGAGCUAAUACAGCAUACGUCCAGAGUGUGAAAGUGGGGGUUCUUCGGACCUAACGCUUUUUGCUGACCCUAAGUGGGAUUAGCUAGUUGGUAGGGUAACGGCUUACCAAGGCGACGAUCCGUAGCCGGUCUGAGAGGAUGAUCAGCCACACUGGAACUGAGACACGGUCCAGACUCCUACGGGAGGCAGCAGUGGGGAAUAUUGGACAAUGGGCGAAAGCCUGAUCCAGCCAUGCCGCGUGUGUGAAGAAGGUCUUCGGAUCGUAAAGCACUUUUAGUAGGGAAGAACAGAAGUAAAUUAAUACGUGCACAUCUUGACGGUACCAACAGAAAAAGCACCGGCUAACUACGUG